rnacentral:rRNA from 1 species
CCUACGGGGGGCAGCAGUGGGGGAUAUUGCACAAUGGGGGAAACCCUGAUGCAGCGACGCCGCGUGUGGGAAGACGGUCCUCUGGAUUGUAAACCACUGUCCCCAGGGACGAAGAUGACGGUACCUGGGGAGGAAGCUCUGGCUAACUACGUGCCAGCAGCUGCGGCAAUACGUAGGGAGCAAGCGUUGUCCGGAAUUAGUGGGUGUAAAGGGAGCGUAGGCGGGAUGGCAAGUUGGGUGUUAAAUCUACCGGCUCAACUGGUAGUCGCACUCAAAACUGCUAUUCUUGAGUGAAGUAGAGGCAGGCGGAAUGCCUGGUGUAGCGGUGAAAUGCGUAGAUAUUAGGAAGAACACCAGUGGCGAAGGCAGCCUGCUGGGCUUUUACUGACGCUGAGGCUCGAAAGUGUGGGGAGCAAACAGGAUUAGAUACCCUUGUAGUC